UACGUAGGGUGCAAGCAUUAAUCGGAAUUAUUGGGCGUAAAGGGCGCGUAGGCGGAGAUGUAAGUCAGAUGUGAAAUCCCGGAGCUCAACCCCGGAACAGCAUUUGAAACUGCGUUUCUAGAGGGUAGGCGGAGAAAACGGAAUUCCACAAGUAGCGGUGAAAUGCGUAGAUAUGUGGAAGAACACCAGUGGCGAAGGCGGUUUUCUAGCUUAUACCUGACGCUAAAGCGCGAAAGCAAUGGUAGCAAUCACU
rnacentral:rRNA from 1 species